GCAGUGGUGGCAGUGUUUGGACCGCAAUACUUGAGAACACCCGAUGCGGAAGACACUGCUCGGAUCCUAGCACAGAAUGCAGCAAGAGGAUUUCCUGGUAUGCUUGGAAGCAUCGACUACAUGCAUUGGAAAUGGAAGAAUUGCCCAUUUGCUUGGCAGGGGAUGUACAAAGGCGCCAAAGGCGGUUGUAGUGUGGUACUUGAGGCGGUGGCCACACAGGACCUCUGGAUUUGGCACUCCUUCUUUGGUAUGCCAGGAACUCACAAUGACAUCAACGUGCUGCAGUGCUCCCCUGUCUUUGCCAAGCUUGUUGAAGGUUAUUCUCCUCCGUGA
rnacentral:rRNA from 1 species